rnacentral:rRNA from 1 species
AUUGCACGCUGGCUGCAGGACUAACACAUGCAAGUAGAACGAGUGGCGGACGGGAGAGUAAUGUAUGGGAAAAUGCCUGAUGGAGGGGGCUAACUCCUGGAAACGGUAGCUAAUACCGCAUACAAUCAGUUGUGCCCAGAUGGGAUUCGCUAGGUGGUUGGGUAACGGCUCACCAAGGCGACGAUCCCUAGCUGAUCUGAGAGGAUGACCAGCCAGACUGUAACUGAGACACGGUCCAGACUCCUACGGGAUGCAGCAGUGGGGAAUAUUGCACAAUGGGCGCAAGCCUGAUGCAGCCAUGCCGCGUGUAUGAAGAAGGCCUUCGGGUUGUAAAGUACUUUCAGCGGGGAGGCGUUACCCGCAGAAGAAGCACCGGCUAACUCCGUGCCAGCAGCCGCGGUAAUUC